CACCUGGUCCUGACGGGCUGACGGAGUUUUACUAAUAGUUUUCCCUCUCCUGGUCCCUCACUUGGUUGAGAUGUAUAGUGGGAGCCUAGCUUUAUUUAUUUGUUUUAUUGCUAUUCUUGUUGCAUGACAUCUCAUCAAUAAAAUAUAAUCCAGCUCCCAUAGCAUAUAUUAACACUGCAGUUAAAAAGCUCGUAGUUGGAUCUUGGGGUGGUAUAGGAAUCCAGUUCUAUUUUGUUCGUUUUCGGAACUGGGGCCAUAAGUAAGAGGGACGGCAGGGGGCAUUCGUAUUAUGCCGCUGGAGGUAAACUUCUUGGACCGGCACAAGACGGACCAAAGCGAAAGCAUUUGCCAAGAAUGUUUUCAUUAACCACUUCAAGACCAGGUGUUUAGACCCCCUUCCUGGCCAGGCCAUUUUUCAGUAUUCAGCGCUGCGGUACUUUGACUGACGUUUAUUCCGUCAUGCAACGCUGUACUGAAAUUAAUUUUAUACCAUUUUUUGGGGACAGAUAGAGCUUUAUUUUGGUGGUAUUUAAUCACCACUACAGGUUUUAUUUUUUAUUAUAUCAAGAAAGUUGGAGGUUCGAAGACAAUCAGAUAGCGUCGUAGUUCCGACCAUAAACUAUGCCGACUAGCAAUCCAGCUGCGUUAUUCCCAUGACCCGCCGAGCAGCUUCCGGGAAACCAAAGUCUUUGGGUUCCGUAGGAAGUAUGGUUGCAAAGCUAAAACUUAAAGGAAUUAAUGGAAGGGCACCACCAGGAGUGGAGCCUAAGGCUUAAUUUGACUGAACACAGGAAACCUCACCCGGCCCAGACAUGGAAAGGAUUGACAGAUCGAUAGCUCUUUGUCAAUUCUGUGGGUGGUGGUGCAUGGCCGUUCUUAGUUGGUGGAGCGAUUUGUCUGGUUAAUUCCGAUAUCGAACUAGACUCCUCCAUGCUAACUAGUUACACAACCCCCAGGGGUCCGCGUCCAACUUUUUAGAAGGACAAAAGGCAUUCAGCCACACGAUAUCGAGCAUUAACAGGUCUGUGGCCCUUAUAUGUCCGGGGCUGCAUGCGUGCUAUACUGAACGGACCAGUGUGUGUCUACCCUUCGAUGACAGCUGCGGGUAACCCGCUGAACUCUGUUCGUUAUAGGGAUUGGAUUUCCCAGUAAGUGCGGGUAAUAAGCUUGCGUUGAUUUAGUCCCUGCCCUUUGUACACACUGCCCAUCGUUACUACAGAUUGGAUGGUUUAGUGAGGUCCUCAGAUUGGCCCCACCGAGGUCGGCGACAGCCCUUGCAGAGCGCCGAGAAGAGGAUCAAACUUGACUAUCCAGAUGGCCCUCCCCCCCGCAAGCCAG
rnacentral:rRNA from 1 species